ACCAGACUCCUACGGGAGGCAGCAGUGAGGAAUAUUGGUCAAUGGCCGGAAGGCUGAACCAGCCAAGCCGCGUGAAGGACGAAGGUGCCAAGCAUUGUAAACUUCUUUUGUCAAGGGACAAAAUCAGGCUCGAGAGCCUGACCGAGGGUACUUGAAGAAAAAGCAUCGGCUAACUCCGUGCCAGCAGCCGCGGUAAUACGGAGGAUGCGAGCGUUAUCCGGAUUUAUUGGGUUUAAAGGGUGCGUAGGCGGACUGUUAAGUCAGGGGUAAAAUGUCCGGGCUCAACCCGGGCCGGCCGUUGAAACUGGGGAUCUUGAGUGGGCGAGAAGUAUGCGGAAUGCGUGGUGUAGCGGUGAAAUGCAUAGAUAUCACGCAGAACUCCGAUUGCGAAGGCAGCAUACCGGCGCCCGACUGACGCUGAGGCACGAAAGCGUGGGGAUCGAACAGGAUUAGAUACCCCCGUACC
rnacentral:rRNA from 1 species